CAGUCGCCACGGUAAUACGUAGGGUGCAAGCGUUAAUCGGAAUUACUAAGCGUAAAGCGUGCGCAGGCGGUUAUAUAAGACAGAUGUGAAAUCCCCGGGCUCAACCUGGGAACUGCAUUUGUGACUGUAUAGCUAGAGUACGGCAGAGGGGGAUGGAAUUCCGCGUGUAGCAGUGAAAUGCGUAGAUAUGCGGAGGAACACCGAUGGCGAAGGCAAUCCCCUGGGCCUGUACUGACGCUCAUGCACGAAAGCGUGGGGAGCAAACAGGAUUAGAUACCCCGGUAGUCCCUGUCUCUUAUAC
rnacentral:rRNA from 1 species